rnacentral:rRNA from 1 species
CCUACGGGUGGCUGCAGUGAGGAAUAUUGGUCAAUGGGCGUAAGCCUGAACCAGCCAAGUCGCGUGAGGGAUGAGGUUCUAUGGAUCGUAAACCUCUUUUAUAAGGGAAUAAAAAGCGGGACGUGUCCCGUUUUGUAUGUACCUUAUGCAUAAGGGACGGCUAACUCCGUGCCAGCAGCCGCGGUAAUACGGAGGAGCCGAGCGUUAUCCGGAUUUAUUGGGUUUAAAGGGUGCGUAGGCGGCCUUGUAAGUCAGAGGUGAAAGUCCGUGGCUCAACCAUAGAAUUGCUGUUGAAACUGGGAGGCUUGAGUGUGUGUGAGGCAGGCGGAAUGCGUGGUGUAGCGGUGAAAGGCGUAGAUAUCAGGAGGAACCCCGGUGGCGAAGGCAGCCUGCUAGGCCAUGACUGACGCUGAGGCACGAAAGCGUGGGGAUCAAACAGGAUUAGAUACCCUUGUAGUC